GGCGGUGAGGGUGUGCAUUCGGUCCGGCAACAACUUCAAAUUCUCGCAGUUGUAGACAUGAAAGAAAGUGAGGUUGGCAGUGGGCAAUCCCCCGUCGGGAAAAGAGACAAGAUUUCGACAUAUCUGGAUAUCCAGGUAGUUGAGAUGGCGGAGAUUUUCAUCUGCUCCUCCUUCAACUGAAAGAGAUUCCAGAUUCUGACAACGCAUUAUACGAAGAGAUGAAAGGUUGGGGAAAAUGCCCAAAGGGAACGACCUCAUCUCACCUGAUAGAAAUUCUAAUUUCUUGCAAUUUACUAUACGGAGUGACGUCAGCGUGGUGGGCAGACCAUUUGUAGGGAACGACAAGAGUGAGCAACAUUCAUAUAAUGUCAAACUUUGAAGAUGAUUGCUGUUGUGCACCAUUUGCGGCAACCACUCUCUCCCACCAUCAUCGUAAAUAUCAAGACUCUGAAGCGACGGCAGCGUCUCCGUCGACUCGAGUAACAAUGAGAGACCCGGACAUCCCUUUAUUGUCAGUUGUUCAAGAGAUCGUCGUAAGGAUUCCGUGUUCAGAGUAUUACUGGCCCUGUUUUCAUGUAGAACCUUACAUCCAUCGACCCAAAGGAUUUUCAAGGAAGGAAGAUGAGUGGGCAAGCUUCCUCUCAGCUUCGGACAUUGGCGUAACCUCAGCUCCUUAAGACGAGGAAAGCCUGGACUUUCACCUCCACUUGGACUUGGCUGCCAUUCUUCCCACUCUGGCAUCUCCCGAAACUCUAGCUUCUCUAAACAUUGAAAUGGUUGAUUUCCCCCGUACAACUCAACACCAACACUCUUAACAACUUUCAUCCUUUCUACGUAGAGCUCUUUCAGAGCAGGUAGCUGACCAACUAGUGGCAAUGAACUGCAAUUACUACAGUCAUUGAGACGCAUCACUUGUAAGUUGGAGAAGGACGAGUCUCCCACCCAAUUCGGGAAACUGAUUCCGCCAUAACACCUGACGGUUAGUUUCACCAAAUUUACCGAAGGCUGUAGUCUUUCGAGUACAUGUCUCUCUUUUACAAAAUCAUCGGAAACUUCAGGACCCCAUGCCAACUCUACCUCUUUGAGAUCUUUCUUAUCCUUCAACAACGCAUCAAUAGCACCGACUACAUUUUGCAGAUUCAAGAUGGAAAUUUUUCCUCCAAGGUGCGACAACUCCCUCAGUUCUCCAAUAUUGGACCCAGUAGAUUUCCCCAGCACAAAAGCUGUCAGUGUUCUCAAACUUUUUAGUCUACCCAUAUGCACCGGCAUCUCUUUUAUUUUAGUUCCACCAAUAUCAAGAUGACGCAAAUGAAUCAAUUUCCUCAUGUCUGCAGGCAAUUCAACAAGAGAAGAACAACCUAACAACAAUAGAGUUUGUAAAUUGUAGAGAGUACACACUCUAUCUGAUAACCUUUUAAUUGCCGUAUAAGAGAGAUCAAUGUAGCGCAAGUGCAUGUGGUUACCAAUGGAAUCAGGUAAGUGAGUGAUAUUCAUAUAUCUUGAUAAUGAAAUUGCCCGUAAACAUUUUUGUGCUGGCAAUAAAUCAUCUAGAAUCUUAUUGCUUACAUAUCCACCAUUCCAACUAUAAUGUGGUGGUAAAGACACUGGAAAGAAGGUACGCAAACACUUAACUCCUUUUAAUGGCUCAAAUAUUGGAGAUGUAUCAAAUUUUCCUCUCAUAUAUGACAAGUGGCGAACUUUUUUAGAAACUUCGUGCGAAUUUUUUUGAUCCAACCUCAAACAAAACUCUCCAGACACAAACAUAGCCAAGUCAUUAAUAAGAUCAUGCAUAGUGAAACUUGGUUUAUCCAAUCUUGGUCUUUGAAAUAGUGAACGCGAUAACAGUUCAUUAAAGUACCUUUCACCAACCUCCUCCAUUGCUUUCUUGCUCUCUAAUUGUGGAAUUAAACCUUCUGCCACCCAUAGUAGAAUAACAUUUUUCUUUUCAAACUCAUAGUCCUUUGGAAAGAUUGAGCAAUAAGCAAAGCAUCGUUUCAAGUAAGCCGGAAGAUAGUGGUAACUCAAUCUUAGAGAAGGAAGAAGACUAUUAGGGUGUGGCAGAUCCCAAAGAUUACUAUCCAAUAUGUGAUUCCACUCCUUGUAGUCUAGGUUGCAACUUAAGAGACCCCCUAGCGUUUUUGCGGCUAGAGGUAAACCGUUGCACUUACGUGCAAUUUGCUUACCAAUUUCAACCAAGUCUGGAUGUGCACCGGGGUUUUCAUUUCUAAAUGCAUGUUUUUCCAGUAACGACCAGCAGUCUUCAUCCAACAAUUCUUUUAAAUCGUGAAUAGGAAUAGUAUUGUGCACGAUGGCUGCAACACGCCUGCUCCUUGUUGUUACAAUGACCUUACUUCCCCUUGCCCCAUACGUGAAAAGAAUUCGUAGACGCUCCCAGUCAUCAUAGUUUUCAUUCCAAAGGUCAUCCAAGACAAGUAAAAAUCUCUUUCCACUCAGUUGUUCCCUUAGUUGAACUUCAAGGGAAUUCAUCUCCAAAUUUUCACAAGGCUUUUUAGUGAUUUCCUGAAUAAGGGCCUUAAUAACCCUCAAAGCCUCAUACUGUUCGGAAACACAAACCCAAGCAUGAAUGUCAAAGUGCUUUUUAACUCGUUCAUCGUUGAAAAGGAGUUGAGCAAGAGUUGUCUUACCAACCCCGCCCAUACCGACUAUAGGGACUACAGAAAAAUUACUGCUACUUUCAUUGUCAGAUAACAGCAGUAGAUCUUUUAACUUGUCUUUAUCUCCAUCCCUACCAUAGGUAUAAAAUCCGCCCUCAACAACAGAAGUUGUGGGAGUUCUUUGUGAAACAUUGCCUCCAACAACAUCUUCUCUAAGACGGAGGAUAUCUUUUUGAUUUGCAAGGUGUUCCAACUUCUUGAAUAAAACUUCUAUCCUACCAUUCAUGCCUUUAUAAUUAAAAGGUUUACGACAGGUAGAAAGGAAGUUCCACACCUGGGUUUUCUUAGUCUGAUCUUUCGCCUUGCGACGCGAAACUUCAGUAUCGAUCUCAUCCACCAAGUCCUCGGCCUCGAACACAGCAUGUUUGAGCUCAUCAAGCCACUUCCCGACGUCAGGGUCGACAAUCUGCUUCUCCUCAGCGUCGUUGAGCACUGCACGGAGAUUCACCAACUUCAUCUUCAGUGUGUCCAGGAGUGAAUAGUCGAGUCUUCCUGCCCGGAAGAAGUCUAUGAACUCUCCGGAGGCAAUCUUGUCGCACAGCAACUGGAUGGAACCGGAGAGCAAAGCCUCUCCAACGAAAGCCAUUUUCUCGUCUUGGCAAAAGGACUAAUUUUGAUCAAGUAUUUGGAGUUGACAAACUGAAAAUUAUUCUUGGCAAAGCCUGUAAGAUUACUUCAUGACUGGUGAGACGACUUGAUCUUUUUCUUGGUCAAUAAUGCAGUGGACCACACACGGCAAACAUAAAGUAUAAAGUGGUGGAAGUUGGGAAACGUUUCCAUCCAACAUUAAUUUAUUAAUUAUUUUCUUCCAUAAAAUAAUCGUUGUUGGUCAUGAACAUUGGUGGAGGUUGGAAAACAUUACAUCAACCAUUAAUUUAUUUAUUAUUUUCAAUGUGUCUAAAACAUUAACCGGUAUAUCAAGUAUAAUAAUACAAUUGAUCGAAAUUUUUUUUUUCAAGUUUCUAAUUCAAUUGUCUUAGUACACUUGGCAUAACAAGCCGUGUUCCUGACAUAUUGAUUAAUCUCCCCACACAUCAAGAGGCCUAAAAUAUAUCAAUCUUCUUACCCUUAGUAUAACGGUUAUAAUUAUUAUAAUUUAAAAAUGAUCCUCUUACUUGUAACCGUUAGAUGUGUUAGUGAGAAGGAUCUGCCCCUUACGCUCCGACCACACACGUCAAACAUAGAGUAGUAAUUGGUGGAGUUUGGAAAAACACAGUAAAAAGAGGGGUGUGCUAUCCACAUCUCUUUUUAUUUUUUCCACUCCUUGUUAAUUUUUGUAAUUUGAUAUUCUUUAAUUCAUCUGAUCCGACGGUGAAAAAUUAAAAAAAUAAGAAAAAUAAAAAAUAAUAUGUGGAUAUCACAUCCCUAAAAAGAAUCACGCAAUACAUUUGGAUCUCAACAUUUUUCCGUAUGAUAAGAUCACAUGUUCCCACCAUCGUCUUGUAACCAUCGUCUUGUCACCAUCUUGUCAUUAUUUCUACUCUGGUUCUAAUUCCAAGGGGAACAUCUUCGUGUGAAAAAUAAAGUAAAAGUUUCUGGCAGGACCUCAAUGUUGGGUUGAAUUUCUACAAUUAUUAUUUACAUUUUAUACUUUUAAUCUCAACCACUAUUAUACUUUUAAUCUCAACCACUUAUUUUCUACAACAUUCAUUAUCAUGUGCUAUGGGGAAAAAAAAAAUAAAAAUAAAAACUUGAAAAGUUUCUUGCUUUUUCUUGCUUUGCCUAUAUUUUCAACAUUAAUGGGACCAUUCGUGUUUACGAUUUGGUUUGCCUAUUCAUUCAACGUUCAUGGGACCAUUCUGCUUUGCCUAUAUUUUCUUGCGUUAACCAAUUUUGACUCAAAGUUAACAUGUUUUUGCACAAAACUAAUUAAGAACACACUCGAGUUCCAUACCUUAUAUUGUCAAAUUAUCGAAUUUGAUGCCGCAUAAUUAUACAAAAGUGCAUUUAGAUUAACAGUGCACUUCCUCUUUUACAUCUAAAUUUGAACCUCCAUUUUUAUCGCUAUAAUUUAUACGAGUUUAAUAUAAAUUAUCUUAUCAUUUAUUAAAAACCCCACUUCAUAAAUAAGUAGAUGCGAUAUGUUUAAAUGCAAAUCUGUAACAAAAACAAUGGAAAAGAAUAAGUACAGAUGUUUAUGGAUAGCAAAGGUCUCGAAAACAUAUAUACUCCACAAAAUCUAGCACGAGAGUAUUGAGCCUAGAUAAUAUAACCUCCUCCCCAAUACUAAUUUAUAGCUGAUUUAUUUUGUGGUUUAGCUAAAAUCACCAAUUCUCAUUAUCAUUGUACAAAUAAAUAAAUAAAGAGUAAAUAGUAGCAAUAGUUUCUUUAACUUUAAUCAAAUUGGUUAAAGUUAAGGGACUAUUGCUCCAAUUGAGUUAAAAUUAAAAGAUUAUUUCUCCAAUUGGAUUAAAGUUAAGAGAUCAAUGUUAAUGAAUUUUUAGUUGAGGGACCGCACGUUUUGAUGGGUUAAGGAACUAAUGAUAAUAGAUUUGUAGUUGAUGGACUAUUGCUCCAAUUAAGUUAAAGUUAAGGGAUCAUUGCUACAAUUUAUUCAUAAAUUAAACAAAGGUAAGAAGAGAUAUGAAAUAUUGCAGAAGAAUUGUUAUUGACACUCCAAAAAAAUCAUUAUGCAUUUGUGUAACAAAGUUAUCAAGGAUGGAUUGAGUGCACGAUGACUUUCUUUUGCUAAUAACAAAUUCCUAAAGUGGAUCACAUUAUUAAUAUUGCUUUUGGAAAGAAUUUCUGUUAUCUGCAUCUUCUACAUAUAUAAAGUCAAAAGGGAAAACAGGUGAAACAUUUAAUAUUUCAAAAUUGCCCCUUUUAUUACAGGUUAUAUAAGAGUAAAAAUGUAAGGACAUGAUGGUAAAACCAGGCAAAGGAGAGAAAGUGGAGGAAAAAACUAGAACAUGCUUACAGAAAGAAACUAUAUUUGAAGCAUCCGUUUGGUUGCCCAGCCCACAAAAAAAAUAAAAUAAAAUAAAAAUCCCACAAUUAAAUCUACAAACAACGGAAAUGUGACACUGAUGUUAGCAAACUUUUAUGGUCUUCAAUCUCGAUAAUUUAUGUGCACAUUGGAAUCCAUACUUCAUACUUCACUUGUUUUUGUUGAUCUCUUGUGAUAGGAUACUGUGUGAUAACUGAAUUGGUUGAUAAGUAAGCAUUGUAUUAGUGCUGACUAGGACAGAUAUGUAUGGUUAAAAAGGAUAAGGUUGUUAGUAGUAAGCUUACGGAGGAAGCUAACUAGCUACUAUAUUAGAAAGGAUUGUAAACGGAAGGGUCGUUGUUGUAAUUGUUGUUAAUUGUAAUAGAAAGUUACUUGUUACUGCUACAUAGAAGUCAAGAUGCAGAGUUAGGGUUCUAUCAUUGGUAUCACCGCCAGUGCAUUCGAUCCGGCUUGAUCCUUCUUCGUGUAUGACUCGGCUCGGUUCCAGACGCACCAUGGAAACGAGAGUAUCUCAGCUUGAGUCCCUAUUUGCUGAUUUCCAGAAGGAGUUCAAAGAUUCCAGGCAUGAAUUUCAAGAAUCAAGAACUGAAUUUCGAAAUGCCCAUGAGCUGAUUUUGCAGCAAUUGCAGGUGUUAUCGACGAGAGGUAGUGGGUUGAUGGGCGAAUCGUCGGAAGGGACACAUUCUGAUCACAAUUUACCGCCGGGAGUGAAUCCUCAGUUUGUUCGUCAAGAAUCGAUUCCGUCGCCUCGACAACCAUUUAUCAAGAUCGAUUUUCCCAGAUUUAGUGACGGCGAUGACCCCUUGGGGUGGAUCUACAAAGCAGAGCACUAUUUUGAUUUCUUCGGUGUCGAGGAUUUCAAGAAAGUAAAGAUGGCAUCAUUCCAUCUGGAUGGCGAACCUCUACAAUGGUUCCAAUGGGCUAAUUGUAUCCGGACAUACCCUAGGUGGGAAGAUUUCACUCAAGCUCUUUGUCAAGAAUUUGGUCCGUCGGAGUUCGACGAUUCGGCAGAAAGCUUGGUUAAACUUCGCCAAACGGGAUCUCUGCGUGAUUACAUCUUGGAGUUUCGAAGAUUGGCGAAUCGUACAAGGGAAGUUACCCCAUCUCUCUUGCGAUCUUGUUUCAUUGGUGGUCUUAAAUCGGAGCUGCGUCAUGAUGUCAAAAUCCUAAAGCCCAGAGACGUUCUGGAGGCCACUGCUUAUGCUCAACAGAUCGAUGCCAAGUUGUCUGAAUUAAAGGUCAAGUCUUUUCCUCGUUCAUCUGUUAAUUCUUCGUUUCGUCCUCCAUUACAGAAUGUUGCUGAUACUGUUGUGGGAAAUAACAAAUUCAAACAUGAAAAUGUGAGGCGAUUGACACCUGAAGAGGUCGAAUACUGUCGGAAACAUGGUCUUUGCUUCCAUUGUAAGGAAAAAUUUGUUCGCGGCCACACUUGUGAGAAGAAACAACUUUUAUUGAUUGAUGUUCAGUAUGGUAGUGAUAAUGAAGCCUCUGACAUUGAAAAUUUGGAACCUGAGAUUACAGCAUGUGCCCUUUUUGGUACCCCAGCUCCUAAGUCAAUUAAAACCAUGAAGGUUCUUGGUAGUAUUAGGAAUUGUCCGGUGGUAAUACUUAUCGAUUCUGGUAGUUCCCAUAACUUCGUGGAUUCUGUGUUGGUCAAGAAAAUCAAUGGACAAUUGAAUACAGAUCAUUCUUUUAGUGUCAAGAUUGCGGAUGGGGGCCAAGUCAAGACUACAGGUUCUUUAGGGGCUGUUUCACUCAAGAUUCAACAAGAAUCUACUAUAUUAGAAAGGAUUGUAAACGGAAGGGUCGUUGUUGUAAUUGUUGUUAAUUGUAAUAGAAAGUUACUUGUUACUGCUACAUAGAAGUCAAGAUGCAGAGUUAGGGUUCUAUCAUCUUGGCACAUCUAUACUAAAUUGUUUGGUGUUAGUCGGUUUGUUUGAUUCAUAUUUCAAUUUUGUAAGUAGCCAGAGUAUCUUAGGAAAUGAAAAUAUCAAAAAUAAAAUAAACAUUUGUAAAUAGUGUCAAGCGCAUGUAGUUAUAAAUUUGUAAGUCACACGUAGCAUGCCUGAUUAAAGGCCUUUAAUCCAUGUCCCAUUGUUAGCACGCCUGAUUAAAUGCCUCUAAUCCAUGUACCAAUUGUUAACAAUGAUAAACAACUAAUGCAACAUAUUUUAGGGGUGGGUAACGCCUGUGAUUAAAAAACCUUACGCGCAUGCAGAGAUGCUAGUUUAGAGUAAAUAAAGAAGACUGUACAUACGCAAAUGUGGGAUAAACUAGGGUUGGAUACGGCCAGGCCAAACUCAAAAUUGAAGCAGAUGGACCGGACCCGUUUGUAACUGAAAUGUGACGGGACAGUGCUGGUCUUGUUAGCUGAGAAAUGAAACCGGACUUAACCUGACUCGUUUGAAAUGAACCUGUUCCUACAGGUCCAAGGGUCAUUUUUUUAUAUAAAUUUUUUGUUAAUAAACUAUGACUGUUGUGCUUAAAGUAUAAGCUGGGUGUGCUUGAACAAAAUAGCUGUUGUGCUACAAGUAAAAGCACAAUAAAUUAUAGUGGAGUAGCCUACCAUCACUUUUCAAUUUUCAUAAGUUCCAAGUGAGCCGAAGGCAAAGGCUAACAGUCAGCCAAAAUGCCCAACUGAAAAUAUAGAAAAGAAAGUACACAAACAGCAAGUUACAAAAUGAUUGUCCUUUAAACCAAAUCAUGGUGACGCCAAAUUGCCACAAACCAACUUGCAAAUUUGAAUUCUUCAAAUCUAGAAGACAAUCUUAACUCCAUGCAACCUCCCUAAUAAAAUUAAAUCAAUCACAAAACCCUAAUAGCAAUUGAUUAACAUGAGAUUAAUAAAUUUCAUCGAAAAUCUAAUUAGAUAAUACCUUUAAAUUAACCACAAAAAUAACAAAACCGCAUCAAAAUCCCAAUUUUCAAUUCCACUGUAGAGAGAAAUCGAGUAGAUCCCCCAAUAAAAUGAAACAUGCAAAUGAGAAUUAAAUAAUUACAACUCAAAUUAAAAGCUUAUGCUUUCAUAGACAUCUGAAUUCUUGAAAAUUUACCCAUCUAGGCGGUAGCCCCAAUUAGUCGAAAUCGAUCGAGCAUGAGAGAUUUUCUUUCAUAGACAUUUGUUUUACUAGACAUUUGCUUUCAAACGAGCAUGAGAGACUCAUGUAGAACAAGAUAUGGAUUAAUUUUGAAGACAUCCAUCAUAUGGUAAAUUAUUAGAAUUGGAUAUCUACUUUUCCCUACAAUAAUAACUGGGUGUUGUUAUUGGAACUCAACUCACAAUCAAAAUAUAAUUAUCAUUCAUUUUUCUCUCUUCGUGGCCAAAGGACUAAUUUUGAUCAAGUAUUUGAAGUUGGGAAACUGAAACUACAUUUAUGUGCUCAUCUGAAAACCACAUUUAUUUGAUCACGUUUUCUUUCAUUACUUUUUUUUAUAUACAUUUUCUAACAUGCCAUUACAUAAUCUGAUCUCUUUUUAAUUGUAUUAUUGUAUCAGGUAAAAAAAACCACAUUUAUGGUAAGGACUUUAUGCAGAGCGGGCGGGAACCACCAAUAUUUUGGUGGUUCUGUCAAAUGCCUUAAUUGUUGCUGAAGAUUCAAGAGUUACAGCAUUUUAUGGUGAAAGUAAUAUUUCUUUAUCUUUAACUAACAAAUUGAUUAUUACUCGACUAUGUUUAUAGUAUAUGCAGUAUAUUAAUUGGUUCUAAUUUAUAUAUACAGUUCGACCCGAAGAAAAGAAAGUUAAACGCAUUUCUAAGAAUCCUCCAACACGAGCAACAUGAUGUCAUGAUCAAUGUGAUGCGCAUUAUAUGUUAGGACAUAUAUUCACAAGGAAGAUAUUAGAGUCCAUUAGGAGAGAGCAAUGCUUCUUUCCUUGCUUGGAAAUUCGCCUAUUUUUCCCUCUUCCACUUCACAAGGACUUGUAUCAGGAGGUUUGAAUGCAUUCAUAUUGAUCAUGACACCAUGUUGCUCGUGUUGGAGGAUUCUUAGAAAUGCAUUUAACUUUCUUUUCUUCGGGUCUAACUGUAUACAUAAAUUAGAACCAAUUAAUAUACUACAUAUACUAUAAAAAUAGUCAAAUAAUAAUCAAUUCGGUUGUUAAAGAUAAAGAAAUAUUACUUUAGCCGGAAUAUGAUGUAACUCUUGAAUAUCCAGCAACAAUUAAGGCAUCUGGCUGAACCACCAAAAUAUUGGUGGCUCCCGCCUGCUCUGCAUAAAGUCCUUACCAUAAAUGUGGUUUUCUUUGCCUGAUACAAUAAUACAAUUAAAAAGAGAUGAGCACACAAUCAAAUUAUGUAAUGGCAUGUUAGAAAAUGGAUAUAAAAAAACGUAAUGAAAGAAAACUAAAGACAGAAAACUUGGUUUUACUUACUGUCUUAGAGAUUUUCUGUUUAAUUGUUCUCAUCAAAUUGUUUGUCUACUUUCAUUUGGUCUUUUAUAAUGUAUAAGAUUGUGUUUGAAGGGGUGAAUAUACUGAUGAACUGAACGCAGUCAAACCUCAUGAUACAAGUCCGUGUGAAGUGGAAGAGGGAAAAAUAGGCGAAUUUCAAAGCAAGGAAAGAAGCAUUGCUCUCUCCUAAGAGGGAAAAAUACCGACUAUAGGGACUACAGAAAAAUUACUGCUACUUUCAUUGUCAGAUAGUGUUUUUAACUUUUCUUUAUCUUUAUCCCUACCAUAGGGACAGAAUCCUUCCUCAACUACGUAAGUUGUGGGAGUUCUUUGUGAAACCUUGCGCCCAAUACCUUCUCUAAGACCAAGGCGAUUUCGCUGUUCUGCAAGGUGUUCUAACCUCUGAAAUAACUCCUCUAUCCUACCAUUCAUGCCAUUGUAAUUAAAAGGAAUACGAGAGGUAGAGAGGAAAUUGCACACCUGGGAAUCAGAAAACACAUUCAUCAGGAUUUGAACCCAUGGGAAUCCUGCAAGGUGUUCUAACCUCUGAAAUUAUAAACCGAUUAAAGUUUCAGCAACAAGGAGAUUACUCAAUCAGAAAACACAUUCAUCAGGAUUUGAACCCAUGGGAAUCAGCUGUAAUUAAUAAUUAUCAAUAAUUAAAAGUAAUGAACCAGAAAUUCUAGCAAAAAUAAUUCGCAAUUGCAGAAAUACAGUAAAAUCUGCAUUCCAAUCAAACAGAGGGCAUGGAAAAUCGAAGUGUGGAUGGGAAUUUACAGACCUGGACGAGCUAAACUAAAUUUCAGGCCUAACUAGUAACUACAUUAUUCAGACACAAUCCAAAACAAUACUGCUAUGUUAUAUAUUCUAAACAAAAUUAGCUUACUGUAACUCAACCAUUGAAGCCCACCAAUUAGGGCUGGGUUCGGUUUAAAACGGUUCGGUUUUUUGCCAAAACCGAAACCGAACCGAAAUUUCGAUUCAGUUCGGUUCGGUUAUUUUUUUUUUCGGUUCGGUUUUUUUCGGUUUCGGUUUUUUCCGGUUCGGGUUUCGGUUUUUUCGGUUUUUUUUUUCUUUCAAAAAAUGAUGUAAAUAAUGGAAGGAGCUUACCUAUCAACCUCCCAAUUCUCAUAUAUCAGAGAAUUGAGAACCUCAAAAUCCUGAAUAUAACUUUAAAAUUUGCAAAAUCAUGAAAUAAUUCAACAAAUUAACUGAUGCAGAUCAAAAAAAAAAAAAAAAAAAGCAAAUGGGUUCGUCUAAAUGCCAUAAUCGAACUCCAAUAUCACAUGUCCAGUGCCCAUAUUCAAAUUCAUAGUCUAGUCCACAAUAGAUCUAGAAAAUUCCAAAACAUAUUCAGAGAAAAAUACAAACUUUUCCACCUUAAAUUACAUAAAUUUCAAAUGGGUAACCUAAAAUUAAAAACCCAUAAACUGAAAAAUAGAUAAAACCCACAACCUUUGCUGCAGCGAUAUCGCAGUGAUCGUCGCAAGCUCUUACAAUUCCUCUUUUCGUCGGGUCUCGAAAGGGGCGAGGGAAAAUCAUUGUUUGGAAGAAAGAAUCCACGAGGAGGACAAGAGAAGACUAGAGAGAGUGAUUUGGAGGAAGAGAGGAAGGAGAGGGAGAGAGAGAGAGACUGAGGAAGCAGAGAGGAAGCCGCGGCGGGGAGAGAGACUUUGAGAUCUGAAAAUGAAAUGGGAAUGGGACACUGACGACUAGGGUUUUAAGCUUAAGAAAUUUUAUAAACCAUUCAAUAUAAGAAACCUAUAAAUAAUAUACUAGUACAAUUAUAACAAUAGAAAGCCUACAGUCAAGUUGGCUGACAGUACCUAAACCCAACCUACAGGUCAGGGGUUCGAACCUUGAUGCUAACAUAUUUUUUAGUAUUUAUAUAUAUAUUUUUUUUCGGUUCGGUUUCUAGACCUCAAAAACCGAAACCGAACCAACCAGAUUCGGUUCGGUUCGGUUUGGCAGUUUCGGUUCGGUUUUUUUCGGCCUCGGUUCGGUUUGGUUUUCGGUUUUUUUCGGUUUUCGGUUAUUUGAACCCACCCCUACCACCAAUCCCCCUAUAAUCCAAAACAACACUUCUCUCCGUGCUUGGCAAUUGCAGCCAAUCCAUCCCCCUAUAAUUCGUGCAGGUCCUAUUUCCCCAUCCCCUAUAAUUUUAUUCCACAAAUUCGUGCACCCACCCUCCCAAAGACCUGCAGGUCCUGCACUGCACCCACCCUAAACCGGAACCCAUCCAACCUGAAACCCUCCCAAAAACCUGCACCCAUCCUAAUCCGAAACCCACAGUCCUCAAACCCUCACACAUUCGACAAAAUGCUCAGAAAUCAAGUUAAUCAACAUGAAAUUUGACCCUAAACCCUAAAGAAAAGCCCAGCUUACCUGGAUUUUGGGUCUCGAUUCGUGUCAGAUUCGCAUCUUCCUGCGUCUGUGUGUGUGGCCGGAUGAGCGUCGUUGAAGUGAACGGAGGAGCGGCGUUCAAACUGGACGGGCUUGACGGAGGACGGGAGGAGCGCUGGAGCGCCGUUUGACCUUUGUUCUUCGAGAGAGAGUGAGUGAGCGAUUGAGAGAGAGAGAGGGACCUAACUUACAAUGGUCAUUAGGAUUUAAUCUUAACCAAUCUUACGGUGCAAGUAAUUUCUAAUUAUAAAUUAAAAAUAUAUAUAUUUAUAUAUAUAAUAUUUGGUUCGGUUCGGAAUGACUGAACAGUUUCAAAGAUGAGGCUGAAUCCCAAACCAAAACAUUUCGGUUUCGGGUACCGAAUAUUUCGGGAAAUUUUCGAUCAAAAUUUGGGAAGGAUUAGGGACGGUUUGGGAUUUUCAAGAAAAAAUUCCAUUCCUAUAAAUUUGAAUCACUAUUCUUAUCUCUGUAAUUUAGAUGAGUUUAUUAUAAAUUAUCUUAUAUUUUGUUAAAAAAUCCAUUUCAUAAAUAAGUAGAUGUGAUAUGCUUAAAUGCAAAUCUGUAACAAAAGCAAUGGAAAAGAAUAAGUACAAAAACGGAAUCGUUGCCUUUUAUCUCUAGGUAAAAUAGAGCACCAAGAUGGUCAUCAAAGAGGUUUUGAUUACGACUGCCCACUUCACCUUCUACGAAUUCAACAUCAAGGACAAUCAAUGGGUUCGUUUCCCGAAUCGUAACUUCCAGUUCUCCAUUUGGUUGCCCACAGAAAAAAAACCACAAUUAAAUCUUCAAACAACGGAAAUUUGAAGCAUAAAGUGAGAACAAAUAGGUCGAAAUGUGACACAGAUGUUAGUAAACUUUAUGGUCUUCAAUCUUGAUAAUUUAUGCACACAUUGGAAUCCAGACUUCACAUAUUCGCUUAUAUUUGUUGAUCUCUUGGCACAUCUAUACUAAAUUGUUUGGUAUUAGUCAUUUUUUUAAUUCAUAUUUCAAUUUUGUAAGUAGAAAAGGUAUAUUUGUAAAUGAAGAUAUCAAAAUAAAAUAAAAAUUUGUAAUUGCGCCAAGCACAUGUAAUUAUAAAUUUGUAAGUCACGCGUAGCACGCCUGAUUAAAGAUCUCUAAUCAAUGUACCAUUGUUAGCACACUUGAUUAAAGGCCUCUAAUCCAUGUACCAAUUGUUAACAAUGAUAAAUAACUAACGCAACACAUUUUAGGGGCGGGUAGCGCUUGUGAUUAAAAAAAUGCCUAACGUGCAUGCAAAGAGGCUAGUUUAGAGUAAAUAAAGAAGAUUGUAAAUAUGCAAAUGCGGGAUAAGUUAAGUGUGGAUAUGGGGUAGGCUAGACUCAAAAUUGAAGCAGACGGACCAGACCCAUUUGUAAAUGAAAUGUUGCAGGGUAGGGCGGGUCUUGUUAGUUGAGAAAUGAAACCAGACUUAACCUGACUCGUUUGAACGAACCGGUUCCUACAAGUUCAUGGGUCCUUUUUUAUAUAUAUAAUGUUUGUUAAUAAGUUAUGACAGUUGUGCUUGAAGUAAAAGCUGGUGUGCUUGAACAAAAUAGCUGUUGUGCUCCAAGUCAAAGCACAAUAAAUUAUAAUGGAGUAGCUUACCAUCACUUUUCAAUUUUCACAAACAGCAAGUUAGGCUAUCUCCAACCGAGGGCUGGUCAGAUGGCUCGUUUUAGCCAUCUGACCCUCAAAGAUAUUAAGGUCAUCUCCAACCGAAGGUUGGCCAGUAGGCUCAUUUUAGCCCUCUGGCUUUCCAAGAUAUUAAUAUUUUAAUGAAUAGUACAAGGCCAUAUUUGCAUCAAUCUCCAACUGAGGGCCAAAGGCCCGGAGGGCUCAUUUUAGCCCUAUCACAAAAAACUUAGCCCUUGGUUGGAGACGGAUUUCGGGCUAUUUUUGGCCCUCUGGACAGGCCAUCUCCAACCAAGGGCUGGCCAGAGGGCUCGUUUUAGCCCUAUGGCCCUCCAAGAUAUUAAUAUUUUAAUGAACAGUACAGAGUUAUAUUUACCUUCAUCUCCAACCGAGGGCUAAAGGGCCAUAGGACUCGUUUUAGCCAUAUCACGAAAAAUCGUCUCCAACCGAAAGCGGUCGGAAGAGGCAGAAACGCCUCUGUGAGUCUUUCUAACCCCUGAAUGGGUGGAUAUGGCUAAGCCAUUAGCUAGUCUCCUUUUUAAUAAGAUAAAAAUAUAUAUAUACACACACACACACAUUUGCUACACCAACUAGUAUAGGUAAGUCCACAUUAGGCUAGGUUACAAAAUUUAAACUUAAAAGCCGCAGACUUGGGUGGCUAGAGCAAUGUGGUUCGAAUCCUUGUUUUCAUAUCCAUAAUUUAGCUAAAUUUAGUGUGGAUCAUCUUAUCGUUUUUUCAUAAAUCCCGUGUAACGAAUAAUUCAAUGUGAUAUGUUUAAAUGCAAAACUUGAGCGAAACACAGUGAAAUGAUUAGAAACUAUCUCCACCACAUAUCUGUACCAAAAACAAUGGAAAAGAACAAGUACAAAUGUUUACAUGAGAGAAGUUGUAAGGACUUGGAUUGUGAGGGUCAUCUCCACUUUGAAAGUAAUAGCUGAAAGUUGGAGGUUCAUGCAGAUUAAACCAUUCGCCAUUGAUGAACACCUCAAAAGAGCGAAACCAGCCCUGCUGAAACUUUUAAGUACAAAAUUAAAAAAUAAACAGUUCAAAGAUCCGACUUUGAUUUGCAUCAAUGAAAGUUGCAACGAAUGCGAACUAUAUUGCCUCAAUCUUUUCAAUUCAUAUUCUUUGCACACCUCUUCUUCAGAGAAGAACAAACUUUUUGGUGAUAGAUGGCGGGAAAUCCUCUUCUGGCAGGAAUGCAAGACAAUCGAUGAUGCAUAGCUGAGCUGAGGUCCUUCUCCGGGCAGGAAUUCCGAGAGUGCGUGGUGUUUUGAUCCACAGAUUUCAAACUUGAUCGUCCAGACGGUGUGAGUGGAAGAGAGCCGCUGUUGUUUGAGCAAUGUCUCCAACAGAUCCUCACGUCCCCUGAUCUGAAAUUCUCCAAGGGAGACAUAGCACAGCUCGAUUCCACUGUUAAAAAAUACCCGAUAUUAUAAAUGCAAAUAUAGACAAGGCAAAAUGAAAAAAGCAAAAGAAAAGGAAGGUAAAUUACAAUUUACAAAUCAUCAGUGUUAAACCGAGAAUCGAUAUUUAUCCUUCUGGUGAAAUCUGUAGCGGAACAACCAGCCUCCUUGUCAGCCUCCUUGUAUGGUAACGCAAUGUACUGGCAUUCAUCCAAACACAGUUAAGUGGUGCUAAAUACAGAUUAGUGUCAAAUUAACUUUGAAGACAAUCAAUUCUGUUGGAAAAUUUGAGGACAAUCAAUUUAACAUAACUACAGAUAAGUGGUACUAAAUACGUACCAGGCUUUGUCUUGAGAGUUGAGAGUUAGAGUGAAAUGAAGGCUCAUAUGGUGAUUUCAUCAUCUAUCCUUAUGCAAGGAAUACGAGAUAUGUUUCUCCAAUCUUUUCCCUUCUUGUUCCGAUACAUCUUCUUCAGGAAGGACAACCCCAGAUGCUGAGAUGAGAAAGAGAUGCUGGCAAACCCUCUUUCGGCAAGAAUUCAAGACUCUCGCAGCUCAAAAAUUCGUAGCUGUUGAAGAGAAGUGAGGUGCUCAAGUCCCUUUCCGUCCAAAGAUUUCAGAUUCCAUACAUAAGAGAUCCAGAGAGUGGGGAGAGUGGCAAGGAGCAGGUGUUCAUUGAGCAACGUCUCCAGCAGAUCCUUGUUUCCUUCGAUCUGAAAUUAAUUGGCUCCUGUAGGAAGAUUUAGUAUUAACCACCCACCAUAAAAUGAACUUAAAGGUAGUCAUUACAGAACAAAGCACACUAUGGUUCAUGAGCAAACUUAAAAGUAAUCAUUACAACUUAUGACUAUUACUAAGUUAAAGUUUUUUAGGGUGUCAAAGAUUCGCCUCAUCAAAAUCUUGUGGGAGAUUUCAACCCAGUUGAAGAAAAAAGAGUACCACACACCAACAAACUACAAGUUAUGACUAUCUAGCUUGUAUUAAUUAAAACAUCCAAAAUAAUGUCCAGGGGAGUCUUCAAACUAUAGCAACUCUUGAUAUCAUGCAAGUCUAUGUGCAACAUUUUUUGGCCUCUCGUCUCACAUAAUAUUGGACCAAACGCAGAAUAAUCCUUCUUCUUUUGCUACAGUCCCGCCAAAGAUAGAGUGGAAUUACUCUCCACUUCCACAGCUGCAGCCGCCAUCGGCAGCCAACGACGCAGUGUUCUGGCCUAAAACGUAUGUGGUAGAGAAAAAUGAAACCCUACGCGAGCACUUGCUGCAAUGCAGCAACAAAGUGUGGCUGCAUACGAAUCAGAAAAACAAAUACUAUAUAUUAAGAGAAACAAUGAAUGGACCCCUUAGCGACUGUGAAAUCCUGCUAUGUGCGAUAAUGUACAUGACGCACUUCCACGGUUGAGUUGCUACUUACCAAGAAGGUUUCUAAAUUUGAGAGUCCAUUGCUCCAACUUUCACCUUCAAACUUGGGUUAAGGCGUAUCAUCGUCAAUUUCUCCAGGGCAUCUUCCUCUAGAGCGGUUAACGAAUCAAAUGAUUGCCUGCAUAUAAAGUAAGCAAAUCUGCAAUGUUCAAAAAAAAUUUGCUUCGUUUGUUAACUUGCUAUGCGAGUCACACGACAUCACACACGCUAAUAUAAAGAAAACAUUGCAUAUUCUCUUGAUUGCUCAUGAAAUCCACAGUCGUGAGAAGAAUGCUAUAACCUCUCAGUUCCCUUGAUCACUACCAGGAGAUAAGGUGUUCAUUGGCGGCAACAAUAGGCACAAUUUUGUUUAAGGUAUGUGAUAUAUAUAUAUAUAUAUAUAUAUAUAUAUAUAUAUAUAUAUACACACAUAUAUAUAUAUGUAUGUAUGUAUAUUCUUCUUUAAGGAGAGUAUGUGGAUGCAGAGUUUUGAUGAAAAUGUAGGAAAAGAACGCAGAGCUCUACCUUCACACGCUUUCUACCGUUUCAUUAUAAAUCGAACUGUGAAAAGCAUGUUUUCUCUCAAAUCCAUUUCAAUAGAAUGCCAACUCAACCACUUUCCUUUUUCAUACCUCAGCUUAACAAGAUACUCCUAAAUUCAAAGAUGAAGAAAUUAUUAUUGAUACAUUUAUCUUAGAAAACAAGCGAAUGGAACUUAAAGCAAAAGUGAGUGGUGGAACGCUCAAUUACCGCUCAUCCGCAGAGCUCAACAUAAGAAUUAUCAUUCUUGUGAAAUCCAUUGCACACCAGCCAACCACUUAUUCAAGUAAUAUCAUUUACUGGAAUACCAACAAACACAAGCAUGACGACACUGCUACAAGGAACAAGCGCUCUGUUCGACCACUUUGUCUGUAAAAAAGCACAUCUGCACCCAUUCGAAGAUAAGAAUGACAUCAAGAGAAGAUGAAAAGGCAUGUCUCCCAUACUCAAACUAUAAACAGUAUUAGAAGAAAAAAACAUCAUUCCAGGGAUUACCUCGCCGAUUAAAGGAGAAUUAUAUUCAUGCCAGAUAACUGGAGCUAGCACCAUUCAAGGACAACCAAUUGAUGCAUGUUUAAAUCGUUGGCUGUAGAUAAUCCUAUCUUUACAAGUCCAGAGUUGCUAGCUGCAUCAAUAAAGCCGACAAAUACGUUAGUCCCAUUGUGUUGUCCUGACUGAUUGCAUAGUUGAUUUACAUUGAUACAUAAAGGACGGACAAAUUACACUCAAGUGUUCAACUACUUACACUGAAAUCUUUAGGCGCAGCAGCCAGCCACCAAGUCUAGUUACAUUGGCAUUCUAGCAAGCGGUGCCAAUAAGCCAUACUCUCUCCAACCGUUGUGUUUGUAGAGAAAGAGAAACAUAUGUAUACGAACCUACCACAAGAUGACAGAGGCACUGAAAGAUGAGUAAGCAUUCUGCCGUAUGGAAACCACAGAAGUAUAUAUAUUAUACACAAGCACCUGAGUGGUUGAUGUAAUCUAUCAUUUUCCCUCUGAUAAUCCUACCUUUACAGUUCAAUAGUUUUGUCUCUGGACCGACGAAGUCCCACAUACGUUCAGUCUCUAUAUAGCUGUUCAAGCGAGCUGAGGUCUCGAGGUCCCCGUCCUGGAAGGAAUUGCGGGAGUGGGAGGCGUUGAAUUGAAAGUCCAUUUUGUAACGCCCCGAUCCCGAUAUACGUUCACGAUCGACACGUGACGUCACCAAAUACCUGUAUCUCAACAUACCCCGCUUCCAGGAUAUGGCAAAUCACAACUCGAGAAUCGAAUCGCAUAGUAAUUUUUUUGUAUACUUUAUGGCUGCAUCUAACAUCCUCGUUAGACUGCAUACGUAUCCUCAAUAGGGAUCAAGCCAUUUGUAGUUCAUCUUUCACUGCACUUGAACAAUCAUCGUUUAAAUCUCUAUGUCUCAACAUAAUACCACGAUUCAGAUAUGCAACAUAUCAAGGAAUAUUCGACGAAGCACAAUAAUAUUCUCUAGUCAUCUUAUCAUUUCCACACACAUAAGCUUUCAAACCCCAUUCAAUAAUCACAGCAAUCAAUAACACAUACAAUACAUCAAAAUGCAGGGUUAAAGCGACACCGUUCGGCUGAAGCCUACAUCUCUGAAGUUGAAAUCAAAUCCAAUGAACCAACAAGUCAAAUACUACGAUUUCGGACCACUCAACGAAGUCCAUCAACAUCGGGUUUCGGACCACUUAACGAACUCGCGGAGUAUAAGGGAUUUUGAACCAUCACUCAACGAAGUCCAUCAACAUCGGGUUUCGGACCACUCAACGAACUCGCGGAGUAGAAGGGAUUCUGAACCAUCACUCAACGGAAUCCAAGUGGAUACGAUUCCAGACCAUCACUCAAUGAAAUCGCGAAGUAGAAGGGAUUCCGGACCAUCACUCAACGGAAUCCAAGUGGAUACGAUUCCAGACCAUUACUCAAUGAAAUCGCAAAGUAGAAGGGAUUCCCGACCAUCACUCAACGGAAUCCAAGUGGAUUCAAUUUCGGACCAUCACCCAACGGAAUUGCAGAGUAGAAAGGAUUCCGGACCAUCACUCAACGGAAUCCAAGUGGAUACGAUUCCGGACCAUCACUUAAUGGAAUCCAAGUGGAUACGAUUAUGAACCAUCACUCAAUGGAAUUGCGAAGUAGAAGGGAUUCCGGACCAUCACUCAACGGAAUCAAAGUGGAUAUGAUUAUGGACCAUCACUCAAUGGAAUCGCAAAGUAGAAGGGAUUCCGGACCAUCACUCAAUGGAAUCCAAGUGGAUACGAUUCCAGACCAUCACUCAACGGAAUCACAGAGUAGAAGAGAUUCCAGACCAUUACUCAACGGAAUCCAAGUGGAUACGAGUCCAGACCAUCACUCAACGGAAUCACAAAGUAUAAGGGAUUCUGGACCAUCACUCAACGGAACCCCAGCGGAACCUAGUUCGGGACACUUAAUGAAACCGAGCGGAAGUCCAAAGAACAUAUCAACGACUCAAAGAAACAAGACAUGAAUCAAGUUACUCAAGUUACAAAGGCUCAACGAAAUGAAACAAAGCACAAGUAUUAAAUGUAGAACGGCUCAACGAAACGAGAAAUGAAAUAAUGAACCGAGGGGUGAGACAUGUAUCGAAGCAACAAACCCCAUGACGAUGGGUUAACAGUCCACUACUAACCUUCACAUUUCAUCACAUCAAUCCAAUUAUACAAAACAAACCAUAUUUCCAAUAUGCACGUCAAAUCACAAUUAAUAAACAUAGAUCGAUGCUAAAAAUAAAAAUAACACUUCAAUAGAAAGCACAUUUAAUAAACAAGUAUAACUCAAUAUGGUGCCACCAAUACAUAUAUCGAGACAUGUUAACCGAGAACAACACGUCAUCGUGAUAAGCCAACUAAGUUCCAUCACGCCUCAACAACAAACUAGAGAUAAACGACACUCUAGAGUAUAGCAUGUUGACUAGAACGUCAACCGUCGAUAAGGUAAGUCCAUUAAGAUCAACAAUCUAAGGUUAUUCAAUCCGGAAGAUCCGCACAUCGGAUUUCCAAUCCGUAAGUUCUCAAAGGUCCAACAACUGAUAACUAGGGUGCUUACAAAAUUGUACGACGAUCCAACGAUCGAAUUGUCGUCAAUACAAACAAGUGGUGGUCCAAUUUGAUCACCACACCAAACAAUUGAAUUUCAGGAAACCGAGCUAGACGUAGGUUCAUAGGGUCACUAGAAGGUAUUUGGUACUUAGACAACACUCGUGGACUGUCCCACGCACCUCUACACACGGUGGUAGCCAAGGUGGAGGGUUUUGAAAAUCCGAAUUUUCAACAUUAACUAAAUGAGCUCAAAUUUACGUGGUAGCUAAAGCUCAACAAGGGAAACACUUUUCAUAACUAGGCCGACACAAAUUCUAACCGGAAAUCGUCCAAAUUCAUCGGAAAAAACUGAAUUUCUAGGGUUCUAAACACCCAACUCUAAAAUGAAUACGAAAGCACGAACCAAGCAUACCAACUUGAAGAUUAUGAAGAGUAGAUGAAGUUUCAUACCUCACUCGAAGGAAAUGGUUGCCGGAAUCACUGGAAAAAUGACAAAAUCUCCGGAAACCCAGGGAACUUUGCUGUCUCGAACUGGAAAAAUGGAUUUAAAAAAGGGAACUUUAACGAAAAGCACCCGGUACUGUUCACUUUAACGAAAAACCACAUUUUUACACUAAAAAGUCAAUCCUGGUACUAUUCACUUUACCCUUUAUUUUGUCCUUAUCAUUAAAACUCAAAGUUUUCAAACCCUUUUCAUUAGUUUUCCUUUUAAAAAAUUGGGAAAUCUAACACUAGAGAGAUGUAGGGCUCGUCAAGAGUUUUCCAUGGACACCAAGAUCAUCCAAAACGGAAAUCGGAUGAAAGAGACACAAGCGGGUCAAGUUUAUGGGUUAACAAAUUAAAUUCGCCCCCAAAAUGAGUUAGCAGAAGCCCUUUUUUUUUUUUUCUAGAAACCUUCCCCCUUUUUAAUUUGAUUGGUCCUCUCUUCAACCUUUACUUCUGAUUGGCCACAAAAGCACAUACCUCCUUGGGCUUUUUCCCUCAAAGUGAGAGUUUAAAUAAUUUCUAAAAUCUAUAGUUUAGUAACACAACUUCAAACGUCUGUAACUAUAUUGUUAUAAUCCGGACUCGCAAACAGCUUUCACCUAUGCAUUCGUGGUUUUGAGAUUUAUUCGAAAAUAAUAUAAAUUCUCCUUAAUACCAAUAUGUAGUUUGCAAUAGUGAAAUCCAGGAACGGGAUUUCACACAUUUCAACCCAAAAGAUUUCAAACUUGACAGUCCAGAAAAUCAGAGCACCAUUUGAUAAUCCUAUCUUUACAGGUUUGCUUGCUCGCUGCAUCAAUGAAACCGAUAUAUCUGUUAGUCCCAUUACACCUACCAGAAGAUUACAGUUAUGUCGCAAAUGAGAGAAGUGAGAGAAAAGCAUCAUCCAGGAUUUACCUCUUCUCAUGCAGGAGAAUCAUAUAUAUCGACCCCAAGUAGUUCCACAUUAUCAGACUACAAAAAAUUCACUCCCCUCGCCACUCUCCUGUAAUUUCAUCGGAAUUAGACUCUGAAACUCUAAUUUAAGAUGGAAUAUUGCUGAGGACAAUCAAUUUAAUAAUAAAUAAAAAAAUACCUGGCUGUUGUCUUGAGAGUUGGAGAGAGUGAAAUGAAAGCUCAUAGGACGGUGAUUUCAUUCUCUAUCUUUAUGAAAGGAAUGCGAGCUAUGUUUCUCCAAUAUUUUCCCUUCUUGUUCCGAUACCUCUUCUUCAGAGAAGGGCAAUCCCAGAUCCUCAGAUAAGAAAGAGAUGCCGGCAAACCCUCUUUCGGCAGGAAUUCGAGACUCUGGCACCAUUCAAUUUGUAGCUGUUGAAGAGAAGUGAGGUGCUCAAGUCCCUUUCCGUCCAAAGAUUUCAGAUCCCAUACCUGAGAGAUUACGAGAGUGUGAAAGAUUUCAGAUCCCAUACCUGAGAGAUUACGAGAGUGUGAAGAGUGGCAGGGAGCAGCUGUUCAUUGAGCAACGUCUCCACCAGAUCCUUGUUUCCUUCGAUCCCAGACCGUUGAAGGGCGGUGAGGGUGUGCAUUCAGGGAGUUGAGAUUUUCAUCUGCUCCUCCUUCAACUGAAAGAGAUUCCAGAUUCUGACAACCAUCGAUACAAAGAGAUGAAAGGUUGGGGAAAAUGCCCAAAGGGAACGACCUCAGAGAAUCACAGCCCUCCCAUAUCCACAAAGACUGAAGGGAAGUCAAUUUGGCCAUCAUCUCACGUGAAAGGAAUUCUAAUUUCUUGCACUUUUCUAUACGGAGUGACGUCAGCGUGGUGGGCAGACCAUUUGUAGGGAACGACAAGAGUGAGGAACAUUCAUAUAAUGUCAAACUUUGAAGAUGAUUGCUGUUGUGCACCAUUUGCGGCAACCACUCUCUCCCAUCAAAAUAAAUAUCAAGCAUCUGAAGCGACGGCAGCGUCUCCGUCGACUCGAGUAACAAUGAGAGACCCGGACAUCACUUUAUUGUCAGUUGUUCAAGAGAUCGUCGUAAGGAUUCUGUGUUCAGGGUAUUACUGGCCCUGUUUUCAUGUAGAACCUUACAUCCAUCGACCCAAAGGAUUUUCAAGGAAGGAAGAUGAGUGGGCAAGUUUCCUCUCAGCUUCGGACAUUGGCGUAACCUCCGCUCCUUAAGACGAGGAAAGUCUGGACUUUCACCUCCACUUGGACUUGGUUGCCAUUCCCACUCCACUGAAGGCCUCAGUCUCUCACAAUUUUCGAUCCAAAAUGUUCGUAGGUUGGGAGGCAAACCCCCUUGUGCACGUGACCCCAGACUUGGAAGAUUUUGUAUCCACAAAUGUUGAAGGGCGGUGAGGGUGUGCAUUCGGGCCAGCUACAACUUCAAUUUCUUGCAUUUGGCUGCACAGUCCUGCCAACAACAACUUCAACGCAGAAUAAUGCUUCUCCUUUUGCUACAGUGCUGCCAAAGAUAGAGUGGAAUUAUAUCCACUUCCAUAGCAGCAGCCUCCAAAUCAGCAACCAUCGGCAGCCAACGACGUAGUGUCAUGGCCUAAAAUGUACGUGGUAGAGAAAAAUGAACCCCCGUGCACGCACUUGGCUGCACAGGCAGCAACAAAGUGUGUGGCUGCAUAUGAAUCAGAAAAACAAUGAAUGGACCCCUUAGCGACUGGGAAAUCCUGCUAUAUGCUAUCAUGUACAUGAAGCACUACCACGGUUGAGUUGCUACUUACCAAGAAGGUUUCUAAAUUUGAGAGCCCACUGCUCCAACUUUCACCAUCAAACUUGGGUUAAGGCUUAUCAUCAUCUAUUUCUCCACGGCAUCUUCCUCUAGAGCAGUUAACGAAUCAAAUGAUUACCUCCAUAUAUAGUGAGCAAAUCUGCAAUGUUCAAAUAAUUUUUUUCUUCGUUUGUUAACUUGCUACAUCACACACACUAAUAUAUAGAAAACAAACCUCCAAGUCCAGAUGCAACUUUGAAUAUUCUCUUGAUUGCUCAUGAAAUCCACAAUGGUGAGAAGAAUGCUAAUAUAUAGAAAACAAGCCGACAAAUACGUUAGUCCCAUCGUGUUGUCCUGACUGAUUGCAUAGUUGAAUUACAUUGAUCCAUAAAGGAAGAACAAAUUACACUCAAGUGUUCAACUACUUACACUGAAAUCUGUAGGCGCAGCAGCUAGCCACCAAGUCUAUUUACACUGGCAUUCUUGGCAUUCUAGCAAGCGGUGCCAAUAAGCCCUGCUCUCUUCAUCCAUGGUGUUUGCAGACAAAAAUAUGUGUAUGCAGCUACCACAAGAUGACAGAGGCAUUGAAAGAUGAGUAAGCAUUCCGCCAUAUGGAAACCUCAGCAGUAUAUAUGUAUACACAAGUACCUGAGUGGUUGAUGUAAGCUAACAUCGUUUUCCCUCUGAUAAUCCUAUCUUCACAGUUCAAUAGUUUUCUCUCUAGACCGACGAAGUCCCACAUACAUUCAAUCUUUAUAUAGCUGUUCAAGAGAGCUGAGGUCUAGAGGUCCCUGUCCUGGAAGGAAUUGCGAGAGUGGGAGGUGUUGAAAGUCCAUUUCCAUCCAAAAUAUUUCAAAAUUGACGGUCCAGAAAAUCAGAGCACCAUUUGAUAAUCCUAUCUUUACAGGUUUGCUUGCUCGCUGCAUCAAUUAAACCGAUAUAUCUGUUAGUCCCAUCACACCUUAGUCCCAUCACAUCUACCAGAAGAUUACAGUUAUGGUGCAAACGGGAGAAGUAUGAGAAAUCAUCCGGGGAUUUACCUCUUCUCAUGCAGGAGAAUCAUAUAUAUCGACCCCAAGUAGUUCCACAGUAUCAGACUACAAAAAAUUCACUCCCCUCGCACUCUCCUGUAUUUUCAUCAGAAUUGGACUCUGAAACUCUAAUUUAAGCUGGAAUAUUGCUGAGGACAAUCAAUUUAAUAAUAAAUAAAAACAAAACAGUACCUGGCUUUUAUCUUGAGAGUUGAGAAUUGAGAGUUGGAGAGAGUGAAAUGAAAGCUCAUAUGGUGAUUUCAUCAUCUAUCUCUAUGCAAGGAAUGCGAGCUAGGUUUCUCCAAUCUUUUCCCUUCUUGUUCCGAUACCUCUUCUUCAGAGAAGGACAACCCCGGAUCUUCAGAUAAGAAAGAGAUGCCGGCAAACCCUCUUUUGGCAGGAAUUUGAGACUCUCGCACCCUUCAAUUUGUAGCCAUUGAAGAGAAGCGAGGUGCUCAAAUCCCUUUCCGUCCAAAGAUUUCAGAUUCGAUACUUCAUAGAUUUGGAGAGUGUGAAGAGUGGCAGGGAGCAGCUGUUCAUUGAGCAACGUCUCCACCAGAUCCCAGUUACAGUCACGGAUAAAUAAUGUUUGUAGGUUGGGAGGCAAACCCCCAACCUUUGGAAGACGAUCCUGUUGAGCAAAAAUUGUACAUAAUAUGUAAACAAAUAAUUCACUCGACACAAUUUUACCCUCGUUCAUUUUUCGAAGAGGGUUUUAUUAAUUCGAGUUCGACCCAUUAUAGGCUACGCGCCUAUUAAUUACAACCUUUCAUUUGGGAAAGGAACACCCUUUGAUUCUAAUAUGAAUAAAUCGUAACUUGGGAAUUUAGAUGUUUAUUUGAUUUUGUGACUGCAUCUAGAUAGAGCCCUAGAUUGCCUACGUACCCUCGUUGAGGGAUCAAGUCACUCGUAGUUCCUUGGUAUUUGGUACUUGUUUGAUUUUGAUGCCUUAUGCAGUUUUAGCUCAUGCAGGCGAGGACUUUAAGUCAUUAGAGCAUUAAUGCCUUGUGCAGUUUUAGCUCAUGUGGACGAGGACUUUUAAGCCAUUGGAGCAUUAAUGCCUUGUGCAGUUUUAGCUCAUGCAGGCGAGGACUUUAAGCCAUUGGAGCAAUAAUGCCUUGUGCAGUUUUAGCUCAUGCAGGCAAGGACUUUAAGUCAUUGGAGCAUUUGAUUCGGCUUCAUGCCAUUUGAGAUUUUUCUUCAGCUUCAUGCCUUUUGUGAUUUGAUGCGGCUUCAUGCCAUUUGAAAUUUAAAGCGGCUUCGUGCCAUUUGUAAUUUGAAUCGGCUCGCUUCUCUUUUACUCUUCGUAGAAUUUGUAAUUACUUGGUCAAAGUAACAGAAGUGAAUUUAGUUUAUAUAAACUAGGGAUUCGUCUUGAUUUCAACUUCACGGUUGCGUCUAAAAUUUUAAUAUUAGACUGCCUACGUAUCCUUAACGGAAUCAAACCGGCGUAGUUCAUAAAAACUUGAUAUCAUGGUUGUGUCUGAAAAUUGAUAUCAGACUGCCUACGUAUCCUUAAAGGAAUCAAACCAGCGUAGUUCAUAAAAACUUGAUUUGGAUUUGUAGAAUUUUUGUAUCAAUUAUAUGCCAACUGAUACAAUGGAUGAAUUUUCUUUGGAGAUCAUAUCCACUGACUUCACUUGGAAAGUCAUACCAAUUAAUUGUUUAAUGAGUAUAAUCCCCCUCGAUUGGCAACUUUGUUUCAUGAGUUCAGCCUGCUUCAUUUUUGAAAGCUUUGUUCCAGAUUUUUAUUCCACGGCAACACCACUUUUAAAGUUCUCUCUCAAUUCCAUUGGUAGCUCCUGGGUGGUCUUGUAUUUGUUGUUUGGGAAUACUGAUAAACUUUGUAGAAUUUAGCUUUGUCGUUUUUGUUUUUUUUUUCUUCUGUUUUUGGACAGAUAGACACCCUUUUAAUUGUUGGCUCUUUCAUCCUCGAACCAUCACGUGAGUGCCUCAUUUUCUUCCCUUUUUAUAUAUAUUUUCCUUUUGAUCUUUCAUCCCCAUUUAAGAUGGGACUUUGAACCCAUUUGACUGACAGCAAGCUUCACUCUUUUUUUUUUAACUUUACAGCUUCCAAAUUCAACAAACUCUAUUCUUCUCCACGUGAGGUGCCCAUUUUUUUCUUCCUUGCUUUCCUUUGUCUUGUCAACUUGUCAGUUUGUCAGCAAACUCUUUUUUCUUCGCUGGGAAUUUUUGAAACUUUUCCAAAUCCCGUAGAACUUUACGUGAGAGUAAACAUCUAUUUAUUUCCCUCCUGUAGUAACUUUUUCCUUGGUGGGAUUUAUGCCACGCGGAAUGAAAAAGGAUUUAAACACCUUUUGCUGGUUGAAGAGCUUCUGAAGUCUUUGAAUUCUUUUUGAGAGUCAUAACUCCUAUUUCACAUAAGCAGUGUAUCGAAGACUUAUGAAAGGAAGACAGCAACUUAUAUAUUCAUCUGCCGUUGCUUGUUCAUCCGUGAGGGAUGAAGGAUGACACACCAUUCAUUUGUCGUUGCUUGCUAAUCUCUCUCCUCUUGACUUUUAACGGAAACGGACGGCAUGUUGAACUCUUUCUCCUCCACGACGAGAUGUACAUUCCAAUUUGUUUUGCUCUUCAUGAUGUGUUGUUUGUACAUUUGUCUUUGCUUUCUUCAUGGACUUUGUGAAAGCUCCAGAGACUUUGAUGAAAUUCUUAUAAGAAAACUGCAGCGACUAUUUCAACUUCGGCAGCCACUGUGGUUGUUUUCACGGUGGAGGACUUCGUUCAUGACCACCCUUUUUUUAUGCCGUUGAUGAGAAAAAUGGAGUAUGCUGCGACGCUGGGCUUGCGGACCGGAGGACGGCGUGAUCGCUGUGGCCGUCGGUGUUGUUGAAGUGGUGGUGUCCGGUGACGUCGUAGCGGGCUGUUGCCAAAGUCCAGGUGAGAAGGCAGUCCUCCGGUUCCAGUUUGUCGCGAAAAGUGAGAGCUUCGGAGCCAUCACUAGGCACAGUGGUUUGGCACUGUUCCUUCAUGCAGGUUGUACUUCCAAACUUCUUUAGGCACCCAUUCCUUCAUUGACGCGACUUCCUUCGGGUUCUUCUGGUUUUAUGCAACACGGCAUUACCAAACCCAUCUCCUUCAAGCCGUAUCCUCCAUUGACGUGACUUCCUUCGGGUUCUUCUGGUUUUAUGCAACACGGCAUGACCAAACCCAUCUCCUUCAAUCCGUAUAAUGUACGGACGGUAAGUAUGGGUUACUUAGACUUUGAUUGGAACUUCACGGGGUGGUCUAGGCCACCCCGAAGAAAUUCAUGGGAUUCUUGGAGAUCAUUUCUGCUGCUCCACCUCCAUCUGUUUGGUGCAGGAAAAAUACCAAACAAAGAAACAAAGGCAAAAAAAGGCUAAAAGAAAUAUUAGAAAAUUUGAUUUGUCCUUCUCUUUUUCUUUCUUUUGUUUCCUUGCAUUGUGGACCAUUGCCAAACAAAGGGGAAUGUCAUGAACCAUUGCCUAGUGGUCUUUGGCUGCCAUUUUUUUUGCGUUGUUUCUUCCUUCGUGUCCUUCUCUGUUUCUUGUACAUAUAUACAACAUAACAAUAAUCAAGAGAAAAAUAAUUUUAACAGGGCUUUGUCUUGUACCUGGUGAUGAAUAUUCUUAUUUGGUUCUUGACUUGAAAGCACGAAUGGUUGAACUGCUUGCUCACUUUUCCGGCAGUACUUCGUUUUUUUUUUUGGUAUUUUCUCUCAAAGCCUCUCUUAGUUUCUGCAGAGUAUCCCCUCCCUUCUUUCCCUUUUUUUUUUUCUUGUUGUGGUUGAUGCCUAUUUAUAGGCAUCUUAGGAGGGUUCCAGCGUUCUUACGUGGGGGAGGAUAGAAGCCUUUCUUUUCGCCACUUUCUCUUAAACCGACUCCAUUUUUCCUUUUGUUGCAGAAAAUGGGGGAACGCCCCCUGUUUUGCACGUUUCCCCCUUUUCUAGGAAGGGAUUCAUAUUUUUAUUUUUUUAUUUUUUUAUUUCUGAAUGUUGUUUUGUAUGUAAGGCCCAUCCUCAUAUUUUGGGUUGGAUUACAUUUUUUUGCCUUGUAGUUUGACCCAAUUUGUAUGGACUUCAUUUUUUAUAUGUCAUGUAUUUUUAUUGUUCAACAGAUCCAUCGACAAAUAUUGAAGGGCGGUGAGGGUGUGCAUUCGGUCCGUCAACAACUUCAAAUUCUCGCAGUUGUAGACUUGAAAGAAAGUGAGGUUGGGAGUGGGCAAUCCCCGGUUGUGUGGCUGCAUAUGAAUCAGAAAAACAAUGAAUGGACCCCUUAGCGACUGGGAAAUCCUGCUAUGUGCUAUCAUGUACAUGAAGCACUACCACAGUUGAGUUGCUACUUACCAAGAAGGUUUCUAAAUUUGAGAGCCCGCUGCUCCAACUUUGACCAUCAAACUUGGGUUAAGGUAUAUCAUCAUCUAUUUCUCCACGGCAUCUUCCUCUAGAGCAGUUAACGAAUCAAAUGAUUACCUGCAUAUAUAGUGAG
rnacentral:lncRNA from 1 species